rnacentral:rRNA from 1 species
AUGAAGCCCACUUGUGGGUGGAUUAGUGGCGAACGGGUGAGUAACACGUGAGUAACCUGCCCUUGACUCUGGGAUAAGCCUGGGAAACUGGGUCUAAUACCGGAUAUGACUGAUCAUCGCAUGGUGGUUGGUGGAAAGCUUUUUGUGGUUUUGGAUGGACUCGCGGCCUAUCAGCUUGUUGGUGAGGUAAUGGCUUACCAAGGCGACGACGGGUAGCCGGCCUGAGAGGGUGACCGGCCACACUGGGACUGAGACACGGCCCAGACUCCUACGGGAGGCAGCAGUGGGGAAUAUUGCACAAUGGGCGCAAGCCUGAUGCAGCGACGCCGCGUGAGGGAUGACGGCCUUCGGGUUGUAAACCUCUUUCAGUAGGGAAGAAGCCUUUCGGGGUGACGGUACCUGCAGAAGAAGCGCCGGCUAACUACGUGCCAGCAGCCGCGGUAAUACGUAGGGCGCAAGCGUUAUCCGGAAUUAUUGGGCGUAAAGAGCUCGUAGGCGGUUUGUCGCGUCUGCCGUGAAAGUCCGGGGCUCAACUCCGGAUCUGCGGUGGGUACGGGCAGACUAGAGUGAUGUAGGGGAGACUGGAAUUCCUGGUGUAGCGGUGAAAUGCGCAGAUAUCAGGAGGAACACCGAUGGCGAAGGCAGGUCUCUGGGCAUUAACUGACGCUGAGGAGCGAAAGCAUGGGGAGCGAACAGGAUUAGAUACCCUGGUAGUCCAUGCCGUAAACGUUGGGCACUAGGUGUGGGGGACAUUCCACGUUUU